UACGUGGGGGCCGAGCGUUGUCCGGAGUUACUGGGCGUAAAGGGCGCGCAGGCGGCGGCGUGGGUCCGGCGUGAAAGCCCCCGGCUCAACCGGGGAACGUCGUCGGGGACCGCGCCGCUUGAGGGCGGCAGGGGCCGGUGGAAUGCCUGGUGUAGUGGUGAAAUGCGUAGAUAUCGGGAGGAACACCAGUGGCGAAGGCGGCAUCCUGGACCGGUAUUGACGCUGAGGCGCGAAAGCCAGGGGAGCAAACGGG
rnacentral:rRNA from 1 species